rnacentral:tRNA from 1 species
CGUUUCGUUGGUUCGAUGGAUAGAGCGUCGGACUUCGGAUCCGAAGGUUGGGGGUUCGACUCCCUCCGGGCGU